rnacentral:rRNA from 1 species
UACGUAGGAGGCAAGCGUUGUCCGGAAUUACUGGGCGUAAAGCGCGUGUAGGUGGUGGGACAAGUCUGCUGUGAAAGCGCCUGGCUUAACCGGGCGAGGUCGGCGGAAACUGUCCGACUCGAGGACGGUAGAGGGGGGUGGAAUUCCCGGUGUAGUGGUGAAAUGCGUAGAGAUCGGGAGGAACACCUGUGGCGAAGGCGGCAUCCUGGACCGAUACUGACGCUGAGGAGCGAAAGCCAGGGGAGCAAACGGG